rnacentral:tRNA from 1 species
GUCCUCGUAGCCCAACCGGCAGAGGCAGCGGCCUCAAACCCCGCGCAGUGCAGGUUCGAACCCUGCCGAGGACACCA